GUUUUAAUAAUUUAAAUAAAAUAUUGGUCUUGUAAACCAAAAAUAAGAAUCAUCUUUUAAAACA
rnacentral:tRNA from 1 species